rnacentral:rRNA from 1 species
GUGGGGAAUAUUGGACAAUGGGCGAAAGCCUGAUCCAGCAAUGCCGCGUGAGUGAUGAAGGCCUUAGGGUUGUAAAGCUCUUUUACUGGGGAUGAUAAUGACAGUACCCAGAGAAUAAGCUCCGGCUAACUCCGUGCCAGCAGCCGCGGUAAUACGGAGGGAGCUAGCGUUGUUCGGAAUUACUGGGCGUAAAGCGCGCGUAGGCGGUUUAUCAAGUCAGAGGUGAAAUCCCGGGGCUCAACCCCGGAACUGCCUUUGAAACUAGUAAACUAGAAUCUUGGAGAGGUCAGUGGAAUUCCGAGUGUAGAGGUGAAAUUCGUAGAUAUUCGGAAGAACACCAGUGGCGAAGGCGACUGACUGGACAAGUAUUGACGCUGAGGUGCGAAAGCGUGGGGAGCAAACAGGAUUAGAAACCCGAGUAGUCC